ACACCUCAAUGGAAAUGCCACUAUCUGAAGGGGACCCACAGGAAGGCUGGAGAGGGACUGUUUAGAAGGGCUUGGAGUGAGAGGACGAGGGGCAACAGUUUGAAGCAUCCUUAACGUGAUUCUACCUGGCAGAGAGAAGCAUUUGCUUCCCAGCACAGCUUUCUAGAAGGAACUAUGAAGCAGUCCAUGUCUCCAGCUUGCUAAACCUUUGUUGCCUAGGUUUCUGGGAGAAAUUAACUCAGGAGUAAGCCAAUAAGCUCUGGAUGCCAAAACUAAAGGAGAAGGAAAAUAUCUUCAGCAGUAAAACAUUCCCCAUUUUUACUGAAAAGCCUCUGUUUGGGAAGCAGGCCAGAGGAGAGCAAUCUGCAAGAGGUACAGAAAGGUGCUGAGCUCUGCAAGUCUUCCCUGCAAGUCAGCAAUCCCUCCUUCCCAAUUAAUAAUUCCAAAAUGCAUCUCAUCCAUUAUCAUCACUUAGCCUUCUUUCUGAAUUCUGGCUGGAGCUAGCAACAGUUCCCUGGAUCAUCUGUUGAUGUUUCUAAACCUCCCCAGGAACAGGCAGCAAAGUUUUGCAGCCUCUGGCAUCUGGCAGCCGUGAAGCUGACUGGCUUCAUUUCUCACGUCCCCGGGGAGGGAGAAGCUCGGAAGCUCUGCUGCGUAGAUCCAGGAACUGAAUUGUGUCUCUGCAGUGGAACAGGGACAGGAAAGCUCAGCUGCAUUAACACAGAUCUUUCACAGACUGGCAGUAAAUAAAGUUGUUAGG